rfam:Triticum aestivum genome assembly, contig: Triticum_aestivum_CS42_TGACv1_scaffold_706969_T_3DS-0.181354_7BS-0.175830
AUAAUACUCGCUCCGUCCAAAAAAACUUGUCCCUCAAAUAGAUGUAUCUAGCAACAAGUUAGUGAUAGAUACAUCUAUUUGAGGGACAAACUUGGGACAAACUUUUUCGUACGGAGGGAGUAUCUU